CGUCAUCGUAGGGUUAGUCGGGACCUAAGUCGAGUCCGAAAGGGGUAGACGAUGGCAAAUAGGUUAAUAUUCCUAUACCGACGGUUGUUUGUUUGAAUGAUGGGGGGACGCAUAGAGUUAAUCGAGCUCGCUGAUGGAAUAGCGGGUCGAAGGACGUAGGUCGAGAAGUAGGAAAAUCCGCUUCUCAUGAGACCGAGAUCUUACAGGCUCUGCAAUGGCUUCGGCCAGCGCGGAGAAUCGAUGAUACUGUCGUGCCGAGAAAAGCCUCUAAAUGAGAACAACCGUUGCCCGUACCGCAAACCGACACAGGUGGGUGAGAUGAGUAUUCUAAGGCGCGUGGAUGAACCCUGGUUAAGGAACUCUGCAAACUAGCACCGUAUCUUCGGUAUAAGGUGUGCCCUGUCUGUUAAAGAAUUUACUUCUUGAAGCGGAUAAGGGUCGCAGCAAAGUGUCCCUCCCGACUGUUUAC
rnacentral:rRNA from 1 species